AGAGGAAGACCUUCUAAAAGAGGUGAUGGGUGGGAGAGUGCUGACAUACUAUGUGAAGCUACUAUUUGGAGUUGGACAGUAGUGCAUGUGACUUUGUGUCACAGCGGGAAUGUGAGCUGGAUGACAAAUGGAGAUUUGGACUUGUGAUAAUUGGCCUCUGUGUCAUUGUGUGGAAGACUGACUGGUCCCUUUAUUUCCUGUAGCUUGACUACCACACAAAUGAAUCCAUUCAAAUGUUGGCAAGUGGAGCAGAGUCCCAGGACAGGUACAGAAACACCCCCAGUUCAAGGAUCUUCACACCUGGAUUUAGGCCUACACCUGCAACUACCCCAGGCCAGUUAUCCAGGCAGUGACUUUCUGUACAGCUACAGUCACCUCUGGACACCUGCGGAGACUUUAAAAAUUUCCAGAAGGUCAGGAAUUUGUGGAGACCUUUCUCAUGGCUACGUUGCUUGCAAAGGUGAAUCAAUAAGCUUCUGAACUGACUUAGAAAAUGUUG
rnacentral:lncRNA from 1 species